AUCAGGAAGUGGAAGGAAAUGAACAUAUAAGAGCAUUUGGAAUGGGGACAUGGAGUAAGGCGUAAACUAGUGUGUACCUGUGCAACUAGGGUCCAACAUUUGUUUUGGAAUUUUCCUGAUGCCUCACAUGCCUUUUGUUCUUAGGUUCUCCUUCCUCUCCCUUAUGAUA
rnacentral:pre_miRNA from 1 species